rnacentral:rRNA from 1 species
GAGUUUGAUCCUGGCUCAGGACGAACGCUGGCGGCGUGCCUAAUACAUGCAAGUAGAACGCUGAAGUCUGGUGCUUGCACUAGACGGAUGAGUUGCGAACGGGUGAGUAACGCGUAGGUAACCUGCCUCAUAGCGGGGGAUAACUAUUGGAAACGAUAGCUAAUACCGCAUAACAGUAUUUACUGCAUGGUAGAUACUUGAAAGGAGCAAUUGCUUCACUAUGAGAUGGACCUGCGUUGUAUUAGCUAGUUGGUGGGGUAACGGCUCACCAAGGCAUCGAUACAUAGCCGACCUGAGAGGGUGAUCGGCCACACUGGGACUGAGACACGGCCCAGACUCCUACGGGAGGCAGCAGUAGGGAAUCUUCGGCAAUGGGGGCAACCCUGACCGAGCAACGCCGCGUGAGUGAAGAAGGUUUUCGGAUCGUAAAGCUCUGUUGUAAGAGAAGAACGUGUGUGAGAGUGGAAAGUUCACACAGUGACGGUAUCUUACCAGAAAGGGACGGCUAACUACGUGCCAGCAGCCGCGGUAAUACGUAGGUCCCGAGCGUUGUCCGGAUUUAUUGGGCGUAAAGCGAGCGCAGGCGGUUUGAUAAGUCUGAAGUAAAAGGCUGUGGCUUAACCAUAGUACGCUUUGGAAACUGUCAAACUUGAGUGCAGAAGGGGAGAGUGGAAUUCCAGGUGUAGCGGUGAAAUGCGUAGA